rfam:Chelonia mydas contig206899, whole genome shotgun sequence.
CUGUGGUGCAUUGUAGUUGCAUUGCAUGUGUGAGAACAGGUGUGCAAUGCCCCUGCAGUGCAGCCCAG